UCAAACAUUUCCGCAAUGAGCGGGAGUUCUAAAUUUAAUAAUUGAAAUUGUCAGUGGAACCAGUGGACAAGAGUUGGUUUGUGGUUGACAAACUUAUCCGUUUGAUCUUUACUUGAACAGUUCCAGUGUGUGGAUGGGUACUGAUGAAGUGUGCGCAUUUAUUUUGAGAAGCCUGCUUGUUCGCAUAGAUUUUAACGACAUGAACAUUGUGGUAAGGUUAGAGAGUAAUGCGAAUGUAGGAGCUUAUAUUAGAAAUGACACAAACACGUAAAUAGAAGUAAUCUAUAUAUGAUAUUACUCAUGGACUACAAGCAAAGAAGUACAAUACAUGGAGUAAGUGAUGAAAUGAGCAUUCCUCACUACUACUGCUUGACUGAUGGAACAUGAUGCACGAGAUAGCAUAAGUAGUAGUAGGAAGCAGCUCUUAUUUGUGGCGUCGGUAUACAUCAUACUAGGUAGAUGGUUCAAUUGGCAUGGAUGGGUGGUGGAGCCUUGAAGUGCUUGUGAUGGGGAGCCCACGGCUUCUUCUCAGGAGUUGGUGGCUUCUUGUAUGGAGUUGAUGGAGGUGUUUCUACUGGAGGGUGGCCAGGGUAGUGACCCUGGGGUGGUGAAGGUUCUUUUGUCGGUGGUGGCCUCACUAUUAUUGGCGGUAGAGUUGGUGGCUUGGGCGUUGGCGGUGGUCUCACUACUCUUGGGGGUAGAGUUGGUGUCUUGUGUUUUGGUGGUGGAGGUGGCUUAACAGGAGUUGGUGGCUUGUAUUCUGGGGGUGGUUUCUCCACCGGAGGUGGCUUAUAAACUGGAGUUGGUGGCUUGUAUUCUGGGGGUGGCUUCUCCACUGGUGGUGGCCUGUAAACAGGGGUUGGUGGCUUAUAUUCUGGGGGAGGCUUCUCCACUGGAGGCGACUUAUAAACAGGGGUUGGUGGCUUGUAUUCCGGGGGUGGCUUCUCUACGGGAGGUGGCCUGUAAACAGGGGUUGGUGGCUUCUCCACCGGAGGUGGCUUAUAAACGGGGGUUGGUGGCUUGUAUUCUGGGGGUGGUUUCCCCAGUGGUGGAGACUUGUAAACAGGAAGAGGUGGUUUGUGCUCAUAUGGGGGUGGCUUGUGGUCAUUAGCAAGUGAGGGAGUGGUGAGGACCACCAAUCCAAGGAACAACACGAGUGAGCAAGCAGAAGACAU
rnacentral:lncRNA from 1 species